rnacentral:lncRNA from 1 species
CUCAUAAAGAACCAAUUCUCACCUAAACACGCGAUAUAAAUUCAGGAUCGGCCGCCCAUUCCGACCGGCCGUGAUUCGGUGGCCAGGAUUCGACAUCGCGGGUCAACGACGUCUCCUCUUCUCAAGGAACAACACGAUAUACGUAUACAGAGCGAGAAAAAAGAAAGAUAGAACAUUGGUUGAGAUAAAGUAUCGUUACGCGAGAAAACGACUGACGAGCUUAUGCAACCCGGCACCCGUGUCGAUAUUACGACUACGAGGCGAAUAACAAACUCGAUGUUUCCCACGAAUCUAUACGUGACGAAUCAAACGUCUUCCAAUAAGACACAAUAAUUUUCAAAUCUUAAAUCGGAAUUAAUAUCAGAGGAAGGCAUUGAAGAACGACAUCGGAUGAGGCAACGAUGAGUAAAUACUAACGAAUUCGGUUGGAUGGCUCAUUAAUUUUCGAUGAGAGUAGAGGAAUCACAUACGUGACAUGCAUGAACACAUUUUUCACGCUUUUCUCCAAACACCAAGCGGUGUUCGAAAAGGUGUUUUCUUUGAAAAAUUGAAAGAGGCAAACCUUGUCCGCUGGAGGCUCUAAUAAUAAAUCUAAGUAUCUCCAAGAGAGUUAAAUCUUUCGGUUCAAUCCUCUGGGUUGAUGUGUUAAAUGGCGAAAAUAUUGGUUGAUGUGUUAAAAAGGAUUACCUGUAUCGACCAUCGAGAAGAAAAACAUGAAGGUUACACGCCAAGAGAUCAUCCUGAUGCGAUUUACAUGAAACGUUAUUGAUGUUAUCUAUAAGUAGUAGUUUCGAACGUCCAUUAACUUCAGAUGGUGUUUAGAAAAGCGAUAAAUGAUGGAAGAUCGGUUAUGGCCUGAUUUGGCGGAAAGGGAGGUGUAUUUGUUCUGCGAGAGCAAACAAUCCGUCUAGAGACCCAUUUCCGUCUGAUCGAAAAUAGUCGCACGGAGAAAGGGUUGCGAUGGAAAACCGCAACAAUCGAUUUUUUAGAUUUACAAGAAUAACGAGAGAAUAUUACGAAAAUAAGACACAAUUAGCAAAAAUUCUAAUUUAAGAGGGACAGGAUGUAAUGAAAUGAUAGGAAGACUAAAAAAACCACAAACAUCUAAAAAGAAAAGUAAAAUAAUGAUGAGGAUAAUCCACAUCCUGUUGAUAUCAAAUUUUACUAUUGUUUCGGUUCAGAGUAACCGUUGGCCAAAUUAGGACAAUCCUGGAUAUCAAAUAUUUGUGGCUAAAAGCCGAAAAUAUUCCGUCCUAAAUAUUCACAAUUGAGGAAUCACGUUAUCAAAACCCGAAAAAAAUUAGUUUUUCCUUUUGAAACACGUGGUUAAUAAGCCGACCAACCGUCCAUGAAGCAUAUUCUUGGUGAAGUUGAAUUCCAUUUGCCGGAAGUCUGUCGGUUCCGCCACUCUUUUCAUAUAAAAUCAGGCUUUUAUUCCAUCGAAAGCUGGAGAAAACGAAGAAAAAAGAAAAAAAGGGAGGAGGAAGGGAAAGAGAGAAACGAGGCUGAACUUUCGUUGAAAUCCGAUAGCAACGUCAAAGACAAUGUUUUUCAUUCUUGAAACACGCACAAUUACAUCAGAAAUAUAAUUAUAAUCGAUUGCGCAAUCCGAUCAUCCUCGAGUCGAAUGCCAGUGCACGCAUGACUCGAAUCGUUUAUUUUCGAGCUUCGUUGCGUUUUGAUAAGAAAAAUGUACAAUGAUGUUGUUUUGAAAAUCUCGUUCCUUCUUAGUAGAACUCGAGGUUUUCAGUUUUAUGUGAUUUUUUGUUUGUUAGAAUGUAAGAUUGAUUU